CGGACGGGUGAGUAACGCGUAGGUAACCUGCCCCAUACAGAGGGAUAGCCACUGGAAACGGUGAUUAAUACCUCAUAAAACUGAGAAUACACAUGUAUACUCAGCCAAAGAUUUAUCGGUAUGGGAUGGACCUGCGUCUGAUUAGUUAGUUGGUGAGGUAACGGCUCACCAAGGCGACGAUCAGUAGCCGACCUGAGAGGGUGAUCGGCCACAUUGGAACUGAGACACGGUCCAAACUCCUACGGGAGGCAGCAG
rnacentral:rRNA from 1 species